GACGAACCGUCCAAACGUUAUUCGGAAUCACUGGGCUUAAAGGGUGCGUAGGCUGUCCGUUAAGUUGGGUGUGAAAGACCUCGGCUCAACCGAGGAAUAGCGCCCAAAACUGGCGGACUUGAGUAAGGCAGAGGUGAACGGAACUUAGGGUGGAGCGGUGAAAUGCGUUGAUAUCCUAAGGAACACCAGUAGCGAAAGCGGUUCACUGGGCCUUUUCUGACGCUGAUGCACGAAAGCCAGGGGAGCGAACGGG
rnacentral:rRNA from 1 species